UACAGAGGGUGCGAGCGUUGUCCGGAAUCACUGGGCGUAAAGGGCGCGUAGGCGGCCUGAUAAGUAGGGGGUGAAAUCCUGUGGCUUAACUGCAGGGCUGCCUCCUAGACUGUUAGGCUCGAGCACGGUAGAGGCAGAUGGAAUUCCCGGUGUAGCGGUGGAAUGCGUAGAGAUCGGGAAGAACAUCGGUGGCGAAGGCGGUCUGCUGGGUCGUUGCUGACGCUGAGGCGCGACAGCGUGGGGAGCAAACAGG
rnacentral:rRNA from 1 species